CAGGGUACAGGUCGGUAAUUGCUCUGUUUCCCGUUCAUAGACAGCAGGGAAGCUUCACCCGCAUACUUUUAUUUGUCAGCAUCGAUCGAUCAAUGCGUUGUCCUCGUAGAAAAAGAAGAGCGCUUGGCUUGAUAACCAAGGGAUCGUACAAAGCUCGCCGCUGAUGGAGCUAGGUGCUCCCGUCCAUAGUUUUCACAAGAUGGGCUGCCAAUCCAAGAUGGUAAUGAUAUGUUGAGUUUGGCAUUCCAUCAACAAAGAAACUGUCGCGAGAUGCAUUGGAGGCUCUGGAAGUUUCACAACAACACACAAAAAAAGUCUUCCCAAAAGAGUUGAGUCUUCUAUCUUAAAGGGCGAAGGCUAGAGUGUGCCUCACCUUUGAUUUAUGGCUCUGAAAACUGUUGUAUGUUUUUGUUUGUUCUUCUUUUAUUUCUCUCUUAAUUGUUGUACUCUCUGUCUUUUGUUAUUCUCCCAGAGUCCCAGUCGACCUAUAGCUAUAGUCCUCAUUCUUGACGCUUCAGGUUCAAGAAAAGGAACUUUAUGAUGGAAAAAUGGACUUCAGUCUGCUCAACCCUUCAUGUUACUGUGCCGGCCGAGAUGUGCUUGGUCGCUGGUGGUUGAGAUUUCAGAUCAGGAGCUCUGGAGUCUGGACUCUGGACUGCAGCGAGCCAAAUCAGUCACCGGUUUGCUUCCCACAUCGCGGACAACGGCAACCUGCAGUCGCUUGCUUUCGUCCUUGAAUUGCCACCGUCAUUGCCAUCAUCGCAAAGUAGUGUACAAAGGUUUUUUGGAUUCAGAUCCUGACUAUCUCAUGCCCUAUUUCACCCCUCAUUUCAAACUCUACUUUGUAAACAGUACAUAUACAGUGCAAAACAGUAUUAUGUACGUUCAUAUGCACACGGUUACUAGAGAUGACAUCAUAGGGAAG
rnacentral:lncRNA from 1 species